ensembl:snRNA U6 U6 spliceosomal RNA
UUGCUUGCUUAGGCAACACAUCUACUAAAACUGGAACAAUGCAGAGAAGAUUAGCAUGGUCUCUGUGCAAGGGUCACAUGCAAGUUUGUGAAGCGUUUCAUAUUUGU